rnacentral:ncRNA from 1 species
CGGCUUCACUACGGGCGCGGAUUCGACACAGCUACCAAGGAUCCAACUCUCGAACAAGAGAGAUCCCCGGUCCUGUGAAGAAGAAGCUGAGAUUGCACCGUGAAUACUCGAUCAAGUUAAUGCUUGCGUGGGAAAGUGUCUGCCGCUUUGA